GGACAGAUUCAGGGCUCCUAGUGGAUCACCAGCUGACGCAUGGAUGUCACCAGGUAGAAAAGGAAGAACACAGAGGCGAAGCCAUUUGUUUGACCCCAACGUCUGUGGCUUUAAACUCACAAUUAUACAUACUUCAGUCAAGUGAAUGGAAAAUAUUCUG
rnacentral:lncRNA from 1 species